AAUUGUUAAGCACUGUAUGUUUUCAUAGCAUUCAGUUGGCACGUUUGUUUGAGGGACAUUGGGCAGAAUGUGGAAUAGUGUCUUUUUGUCAA